rnacentral:rRNA from 1 species
UGAGGAACAUGACCUUCGGCGGGGGAUAGCCGGCCCAACGGCCGGGUAAUACCGCGUACGACCUUCCGGGGACAUCCCUGGAUGGUGAAAGCAGCAAUGCGCCGAUGGAGUGCCUCGCGGCCUAUCAGCUAGUUGGUGAGGUAACGGCUCACCAAGGCGACGACGGGUAGCUGGUCUGAGAGGAUGGCCAGCCACAUUGGGACUGAGACACGGCCCAGACUCCGUACGGGAGCAG